rnacentral:tRNA from 1 species
AGUCUCAUGGUCUAGCGGUAGAACAUUUCAUUAACACUGAAAAAAUCCGAGUUCGACUCUCGGUGGGGCUA